GGGUUGUGAGGUUAAGCGACUAAGCGUACACGGUGGAUGCCUAGGCAGUCAGAGGCGAUGAAGGACGUGCUAAUCUGCGAUAAGCGUCGGUAAGCUGAUAUGAAGCGUUAUGAGCCGGCGAUGUCCGAAUGGGGAAACCCAGUGCAAUGCGUUGCACUAUCGUUCGAUGAAUUCAUAGUCGAACGAGGCGAACCGGGGGAACUGAAACAUCUCAGUACCCCGAGGAAAAGAAAUCAACCGAGAUUCCCCCAGUAGCGGCGAGCGAACGGGGAGCAG
rnacentral:rRNA from 1 species